AUGAAGGUCUUUGGAUUAUUUUUCGUCUUGCUCUUCGAUUUUGACACCCAAAGCUGUCAACGCCGAUUGCUCGGAUUGUUUGAAACUCGAGACAUUUUGGAAUAUAUAUGGCUCCAGGAUCAACGAUGGGCCCUGCUUUAUUAACGGAAACAACAAGGUAUGUUACAAAAAAGGUGGCGGAAAUAUGUAUUGCAAUGAAAAAGAUCCAAAGUGCAAUAUAUCUGAUGAUGGAAAGCCGCAAUACCCUCCCAAUAGCGGAACCCCUGAACAAUGUGAUUCAGUCCCAACAGUUGAUACUGAUACUUGCUCAUCCGAUACUGAAUUCUACAGCAAACGUACCCAUCUACUACUAACCACACUAUGGUCAAGUACGGUGUGAAGCGGGAGGAAAAUGUCAAGACGCCUGCAGCUAUGGAUUUUCCUCACAGGCCGAAAUUGAUUUCAUCGUGGACAAGCACAACGAGUUACGAGCCAAAGUAGCCAAUUGUGAAGAGGAUCAAGCUUUUAAUAGCACCAAAGGGCAACCCUGCGCCAAGAACAUGA